GCACUAAUCCACCUGCGGGCAAAAGACUUAGUCCUAACCUUAUUAUUGGUUUUUGCUAGACAUAUACAUGCAAGUAUCCGCACUCCAGUGAGAAUGCCCCCUAAUCUUUCCCACCCAAGCAAGAGGAGCAGGCAUCAGGCACACCAAACAACAGUAGCCCAAAACGCCUUGUUAAACCACACCCCCACGGGUAUUCAGCAGUAAUUAACGUUAAGCAAUAAGUGCAAACUUGACUUAGCCAUAGCAAUUCUUUAGGGUUGGUAAAUCUUGUGCCAGCUACCGCGGUCAUACAAGAGACCCAAAUCAAUAAUCAUCCGGCGUAAAGAGUGGCCACAUGUUAUCUACACCAACUAAGAUCGAAGCUCAACUAAGCCGUCAUAAGCCUAAGAUCUAUCUAAGCCCAACCUCAAAACCAUCUUAGCCCCCAUGAUUAAUUUUAACCCACGAAAGCCAGGAUACAAACUGGGAUUAGAUACCCCACUAUGCCCGGCCAUAAAUUUAGAUACCCUCCUUACUUUCGUAUCCGCCUGAGAACUACGAGCACAAACGCUUAAAACUCUAAGGACUUGGCGGUGCCCCAAACCCACCUAGAGGAGCCUGUUCUGUAACCGAUAAUCCACGAUUCACCCAACCACCCCUUGCCAACACAGCCUACAUACCGCCGUCGCCAGCUCACCUCCAAUGAGAGACUAACAGUGAGCCUAAUAGACUUUCCCCCCCCCCUAACAAGACAGGUCAAGGUAUAGCCCAUGGGGUGGAAGAAAUGGGCUACAUUUUCUAACUUAGAAUAUACGAAAAAGAACAUGAAACCCGUUCUUAGAAGGCGGAUUUAGCAGUAAAGUGAAAUCAUACCCAGUUCACUUUAAGCCGGCUCUGAGGCACGUACAUACCGCCCGUCACCCUCUUCAUAAGCCACUACCACCAAUAAAUAAUAUUCCCCAAAGCUAAAGACGAGGCAAGUCGUAACAAGGUAAGUGUACCGGAAGGUGCACUUAGACUAU
rnacentral:ncRNA from 1 species